rnacentral:rRNA from 1 species
GUGGGGAAUUUUGGACAAUGGGCGAAAGCCUGAUCCAGCCAUGCCGCGUGCAGGAUGAAGGCCUUCGGGUUGUAAACUGCUUUUGUACGGAACGAAAAGACUCCUUCUAAUAAAGGGGGUCCAUGACGGUACCGUAAGAAUAAGCACCGGCUAACUACGUGCCAGCAGCCGCGGUAAUACGUAGGGUGCAAGCGUUAAUCGGAAUUACUGGGCGUAAAGCGUGCGCAGGCGGUUAUAUAAGACAGAUGUGAAAUCCCCGGGCUCAACCUGGGAACUGCAUUUGUGACUGUAUAGCUAGAGGACGGUAGAGGGGGAUGGAAUUCCGCGUGUAGCAGUGAAAUGCGUAGAUAUGCGGAGGAACACCGAUGGCGAAGGCAAUCCCCUGGACCUGUACUGACGCUCAUGCACGAAAGCGUGGGGAGCAAACAGGAUUAGAAACCCCGGUAGUCC